rnacentral:rRNA from 1 species
AUGACGAACGCUGGCGGCGUGCUUAACACAUGCAAGUCGAGCGGUAAGGCCCUUUCGGGGGUACACGAGCGGCGAACGGGUGAGUAACACGUGAGCAAUCUGCCCUUCACUUCGGGAUAAGCCUCGGAAACGGGGUCUAAUACCGGAUAUGACCGCGCUACGCAUGUGGUGUGGUGGAAAGUUCUGGCGGUGGAGGAUGAGCUCGCGGCCUAUCAGCUUGUUGGUGGGGUAAUGGCCUACCAAGGCUUCGACGGGUAGCCGGCCUGAGAGGGUGACCGGGCCACACUGGGACUGAGACACGGCCCAGACUCCUACGGGAGCAGCAGUGGGGAAUAUUGGACAAGUGGGCGAAAGCCUAGACUCCAAGCCAACGGCCGCGUGGAGGAUGACGGUCCGUUCGGGUUAGUAACCUCUUUCAGCCGUCCGACGGAAGCGAGAGUGACGGUAGCGCAGGAAGAAGCCGACCGACCACACGUGCCAGCAGCCGA